GAAAAGGUAUACAGUGAAACUGGAGGAAAUUUCCUUCUUCUUGGCAGCUGAUGUUCACAAGCUCAUCAACGAGGAGGCCACGAAUAUAAACCGAGCCCUGCUGGGUAAUGAGAGGGCAACUGCCAAGCUGCUCUUUAAUCUAAUGAAAUCAGAGCUUGAGAAGGAAAAAUCACAUAAAUUGAAAUGGCAAGAGAGAGUCAAGGACUGGAAGCUCAUCCAAAAGAACCGUGUAAUUCAGAGUUUCAGAGAAUUUAUGGCAAGUGAAGAAAUACAGAAUCCUCCAGCUGUGAAAGCAGAAAUGGAAGAUAUGAUAAAGGAGCAGACUGUACUCAGUGAGCGGAGACUGGGGGUUUUGCAGCACGUUGGCACCUUGUUGCCUCCAACAGACAUGAAAUCUGAGAUAAAUGAAUGGUACAGAACUUUGGAGAAUUUAAACCAAAGUUUAG